rnacentral:tRNA from 1 species
UUAAAUGAAGCCAAAAAGAGGCUUGUCAUUGUUAAUGAUAAAAUUGAGAUUUACCUCCAUUUAGA